AUUGAACGCUGGCGGCAGGCCUAACACAUGCAAGUCGAACGAGUGGCGGACGGGUGAGUAAUGUCUGGGAAACUGCCUGAUGGAGGGGGAUCACUACUGGAAACGGUAGCUAAUACCGCAUACCAUCGGAUGUGCCCAGAUGGGAUUAGCUAGUAGGUGGGGUAACGGCUCACCUAGGCGACGAUCCCUAGGGGGUAUGAGAGGAUGACCAGCCAGACUGGAACCGAGACACGGUCCAGACUCCUACGGGAGGCAGCAGUGGGUAAUAUUGCACAAUGGGAGAAAGCCUGAUGCAGCCAUGCCGCGUGUAUGAAGAAGGCCUUCGGGUUGUAAAGUACUUUCAGCGGAGAGGCGUUACCCGCAGAAGAAACACCGGCUAACUCCGUGCCAGCAGCCGCGGUAAUUC
rnacentral:rRNA from 1 species